rnacentral:rRNA from 1 species
UACGUAGGGUGCAAGCGUUGUCCGGAAUUAUUGGGCGUAAAGAGCUCGUAGGCGGUCUGUCGCGUCUGGUGUGAAAACUCAGGGCUUAACCCUGAGCUUGCAUCGGGUACGGGCAGACUAGAGUGCGGUAGGGGAGAGUGGAAUUCCUGGUGUAGCGGUGAAAUGCGCAGAUAUCAGGAGGAACACCGGUGGCGAAGGCGGGUCUCUGGGCCGUAACUGACGCUGAGGAGCGAAAGCAUGGGGAGCGAACAGG